rnacentral:rRNA from 1 species
GACGAACGCUGGCGGCGUGCUUAACACAUGCAAGUCGAGCGGUAAGGCCCCUUCGGGGGUACACGAGCGGCGAACGGGUGAGUAACACGUGGGUGACCUGCCCUCAGCUCUGGGAUAAGCCUGGGAAACUGGGUCUAAUACUGGAUAUGACUCCACGGUGCAUGUCGUGGGGUGGAAAGCCUUGUGCGGCUGAGGAUGGGCCCGCGGCCUAUCAGCUUGUUGGUGGGGUGANGGCCUACCAAGGCGACGACGGGUAGCCGGCCUGAGAGGGCGACCGGCCACACUGGGACUGAGACACGGCCCAGACUCCUACGGGAGGCAGCAGUGGGGAAUCUUGCGCAAUGGGCGAAAGCCUGACGCAGCGACGCCGCGUGAGGGAUGACGG